rnacentral:lncRNA from 1 species
CAGAGAUCAUGCAAAACCCCACCAGUCCUGCUCCCAUCUCUCACUAGUCCCCUUUCUGGCUGUACUUGAAAGGCAUUUUUGUCAUCAACAACCUAACUCCUAGUCUGGAACAUCCUUCAUAAAGGAGUCAUGGAUGUAUUGGAUGAGUCUUAGCUGCUCCAAGCUGUUUAGACGAAGUUUUCUGGCAAAGGUUAUGAAAUGUCUCUGUCUCACUCUCAAUGUUUUUUUCUAGGGAAGAUGGUAAAUGGGACCAUAAGUUUAAUUUGUAGAACUGUUGUUUGCUAGUGCCAUGUGCCAGGGCACUGAUGGGCAGAGUCCUGAGUAGCUGGAGACUGGCACUGCUGAAGAAUUGCUGCGGCUGCUGCAAGAUAUUUGGCGCUUGCAGUGUGUCCAGGUUUCCCUCUCUCUGA